UUGCAUCUAUUUGACAGACCUGGAACUGUCACUCUCUGCUGCCAAGGUUCGCACUGAAGAUGCAAGAGAAAAGUGUUCUCAUGCUUUCUGUCUGAUUUUAUCAGCCAAGGCUGAAUGGGGGACUGUUAGC